rnacentral:tRNA from 1 species
AGGCUUUAGCUUAAUUAAAGUGUCUGUUUUGCAAAUAGAAGAUGUGGGUUAGUGACCCGUAAGUCUUA